UUUCUUCUUUCUUGUUUUUGCUUUUGUUGUUUUGGAUUUGUGUUGCAGAGAUGAAUGAUCCUAAUCCCAAGUAUACUUCUCCUAAUCCUGCUCAAGGUUAUUAUCAAGGCCCCCCCAGUAAUGGCACCACCUCAGUAUACUGCUCCACCACCACCACCACGAAGCCAACCUGGUUUCCUUGAACAGUGGUGACGAAGAGGAACUCAUAGCUGGAGACGUCG
rnacentral:misc_RNA from 1 species